UACGGGAGGCAGCAUGGGGAAUAUUGCACAAUGGGGGAAACCCUGAUGCAGCCAUGCCGCGUGUGUGAAGAAGGCCUUCGGGUUGUAAAGCACUUUCAGUAGGGAGGAAGGUAGUGUAGUUAACACCUGCAUUAUUUGACGUUACCUACAGAAGAAGCACCGGCUAACUCCGUGCCAGCAGCCGCGGUAAUACGGAGGGUGCGAGCGUUAAUCGGAAUUACUGGGCGUAAAGCGCAUGCAGGCGGCCUGUUAAGUCAGAUGUGAAAGCCCCGGGGCUUAACCUCGGAAUUGCAUUUGAAACUGGCAGGCUAGAGUCUUGUAGAGGGGGUAGAAUUUCAGGUGUAGCGGUGAAAUGCGUAGAGAUCUGAAGGAAUACCAGUGGCGAAGGCGGCCCCCUGGACAAAGACUGACGCUCAGAUGCGAAAGCGUGGGGAGCAAACAGGAUUAGAUACCCUGGUAG
rnacentral:rRNA from 1 species